rnacentral:lncRNA from 10 species
CCCUGUAGUUUUCAAACUUUACUGUGCAGAAGAAUUAGCCAGAGAGAUUGCUAAAAAUGCAGAUCACCUGGCCUAAGCCCCAGAGAUUUGGAUUCAGGAGGUUAAGGAAAGGGCCCAGGAAACUGUGUGUUAAUCAGCACCACCUGCAAUGCUGAUAUGGUGACCCAGGACUUACCUGCGGAAGUGCUCUAGGUUCUGGGGAGCAGCCGUUUAUCGUCCAGGACCCACAUCCUCCUACCUCACCCAGGGCUACUGCCCAGCGCCUGAUGAGGAAAGCCACAAUUGCACUCACAGAGGAUGAGAAAGAGGCAAAAAGCAGAGAUUCUGGAACCACAUGAAGUAGGAUUUGAAAAUCUGUUCCUUUUCUUACAGGAGUGGCCAUAUAAAUUAUCCAAAGCAGGACACUUCUGAGAGUAAAAGGGAAAUUAAUAAUUAUUCCCAGGCAAUAGACAUAAACUGAGACUGUCCCAGGCAAACUGGAUGUGGGAUCAUUGUAGCAGAUGCUGAUGGUGACCUUAGUUCUCUGGUGCUGAGAGCUGCUUACCGCAAGCACCUGUGGAGCAUGAGCAGCCUGAGCACAGGACAAGCAGGAAGGGUGGAGGGUUAAUGUCCCUGAAGCAGCAUCAACCAAUGGCAGAUAAGGGAUCUAUAUAUGAACACCGUAGUGUUCUUGCCUCUAGGAUGGAAUAGUAACUCUUAAGAGUGUUCUGCUCUAUCUCCGAGAGUUCCCCAGCAAGACAGAGCCCCAAUUGCUCAUCAUGGAACCCCAAGGAGCAUGAGGACAUCCUGAACAGAGGCCACCUCAGGAGAGCUGAAGGAGCAGGAGAGCAGCCCUGGUGCACCCUGCCCAGGCUCAACUCCUCCCGCAGAACUAAGCCAGGGCUGAGAAGUUCCUUGAAAGAGGCUGCUCUUUGGAAGCCUUGCACAUUUCUGAAGGCUGCCAAGAGAGUGUGUGGCUGAAACCAGAGUGAGGACCCAUGCUUCCUUGAGGUGGAGCCCAGGCACUUGGGCAAACAGCUGAUAGGAGUUCAUUUUGUGAAGCUGUCACGAGUUUUCCAGUAGACCAUGAGCUUGCUGAUGGCAGGAGCCUGCCUGUCCUUGAUCCUUGUUUCUGUGGGGUCUAUCCCAGUGCCUGGCACAGUGGCUUUGGAGAUGGAAGGAAUAGAGGGAGAUCCUCAAACACAGCCUGCAUCUCUCCCUGCUCCCCUCCCACCCUCCAGUUUUCCAGCCAGAGGCAUUUGCUCUAAGGCCCAGGCUGUGGCCCACCUAUCACCGCUACCCAAGUAGUACAGGAAAAGGAAAUUUGAAGAGGAAAAGAGGCACCAGGGAUGAGGACACACCGAGAAAAGACCAUGUGAAGACAUGGCGAGAAGACAGCCAGCUGCAAGCCAAGGAGUGAGGCCUCAGAAGAAACCAACCCUGCCGACACCUUGACCUUGGACUUCUAGUCUCUAGAAUUAUGCGAAAAUAAAUUCCUGUUGUUUAAGCCACCCACUCUGUAGUAUUUUGUUAUGGCAGCCCCAAGCAAACUAAUACAGUAUCCUUGAAGAAAGAAGAAUUAUAAAACCUAACAGUUAAGGGGCAGUUAAUUGACAUAUUAAUAAUUCAUUUAGUCUUCUCUUCACAGAAACUCUCUAUAGGAGUUAUUACCAUUUAUCACCAUUUUACAGAGGAGAAAACUGAGGCACAAGAGGUCAAGUAACCUGCUUCAAAGUCAUAACUAGUAAGUGACAGAGGCAGUUUCUUCACUCUCAGUCCUCUAAAAAGCAAAGCCCAAGGUUAAAGUGCUGACAUUUAGU